CGACAAAGUCUCUUCAAGUUCUCUUUUCUCUACGAAAUAAGAUGAUAUCUAAAUUGCAAUAUCAAUCACCUUUCAAUUGUAUCAACAAAAAUCAAUUUUUCAAAAGAACUAAUAAUAAUAGUUGUAAUAAGUUAUAAUAUAUGAAUUAUAAGUUAUAAUAUAUGAAUAAAUAUUUUUAUAAUCUAAUGAUUUAUAAUGAAGUCGAGAUUUCUAAAAUUCUAAAGUUAACCUAAAAGUCUCGAAUACAAAUACCAUUAUGAAAACGUUGGAAAUUGAUGUAACAUCGUAUUAUGUAUCUUCUUUACCGAUCAAUUGAACAAAACCGAUCUACUAGAGAAGACAAUCGACAGGUCGUCGCGUAAAUGUAAUUAUACUUGAAAAAACGGCUUAAACAAUUGGCAAUCUUUUGCCUCUUAAUAGAUUCCUAUAUUACGAAUCUCUCUGCAAGUAGGAGCUAUGGAUCGAUACAACCAAAUUUUACUUGCCAACGAGGUAAAUGUCUACAGAUCGCUUCAAAAAAAAAAA